AAUAUGUCACAGUACAUGGUGAAAGGGACUUUGUGCAUAGAAUUAACUUUACAGACUUGAAAUUAGAGACAUUGUAUUAGAUUAUCCAGAUGGAUUCAAUAUAAACAUGUGGGCCCUUUAAAGUAGAAUACAAAGGCAAUAAAGUCUAUGAGGGAGAUGCAAUGAUGAAAGAUAAGGCAGGAGAGAUUCCAAGUUUAGGCAGGACUCUACCAGCCAUUUCUAGCUUUGAGGAUGGAGGAAGGAGGCCAUGAACCAAUGAGCCAGGGCAGCCUUGACAAGCUGUGGGAUCAACUCACAGCUGACAGCAAAGAAAGAGAUAGCUCAGCUCCAUAACCACAAAGAACCAAGUUCUACCAACAACCUGAAUGUACAUAAAACACCUUCUCCUCUAGAGCUUCCAGAAAGAAAUACAUUCCUGGUGACACCUUGACUUUAGCCAGUGAGCCCAGUACUGGACUUCUGACCUACAGAAUGGGCCCUUCUGCCCUUAGGGCAUCAUCUCAGUAUGGAAUACUUUGCAUCUCCUCACCCUGUAUCAAGUCAAAAAUUAUCUUCUUGUCUUUCCCUUUCCUGCUACAAAAUGCUUCUAGAGUUGAAAAAGGUUCUGAGGCUGCAUUGAGACUCAGUGGAAAGAGAUGUUAUGAUCAACAGCCAAUGUUGUCCAUUGGUACACAGGUACUCUGAGUGCAUAAAAAUCACUCUCAAAUGGCACCAUGUUAUAAAGCAACCAUUUAUGACGUUCAUGAGUUCUGAAGAUCAGGAAUUCUGAUAGAAAAUGAUAAGAAAAUGGCUGUCUCUGCUGCAUCUGCCUCAAGCGGAAGACUUUACAUCUGAGAGGUAGCAGUCAGCAAACUUUUCUGCAAAGAGGUAGACAGUGUUUUCGGUUUUGUGGGCCAUAAAUAUGCUCUCUGUCAUGAGUACUCUAUUCUGCUGCUUUAGAGUAGAAGCAGCAAUUAAUAAUGCAUAAAUGAAAGCAUGGGAUUGUAUCCCAAUAAAACUUUAUUUAUAAAAACAAAGAGCUGGCUGGAUUUGGCUCCCUGAGACCCCUGAAGGCUCACUGACUUGCGUGUCAGGAGACUGAUGAGAGCUGUCGACUAGAGGACUCAGUUCUUCUACAUGUGAAUCACUUCACGUAGUUUUGCUCUAUCUGGGAUAAUUCAGGCUUCCUCUCAGCAUGGAGGCUGGGAUCCAAGGAUGUGAAUAUUGAGAGAAAAUGAAGGAGAGAGAGUGGACCACAUGGAAGCCAUAUAAC